GGUCGGCGGCGUUUUGAUGGUGGGCUAUUGGUGGUGGUCGGCGGCAGGUGGAUGUUUCAAUAUCCAAAACCCUCAUCUUCUACA